GGACUACUGGGGUUUCUAAUCCUGUUUGCUCCCCUUGCUUUCGCGCCUCAGCGUCAGUAUCAGCCCAGAAAACCGUCUUCACCACCGGUGUUCUUCCACAUAUCUACGCAUUUCACCGCUACACGUGGAAUUCCGUUUUCCCUAACUGAACUCUAGUCUGGAAGUUUCAAAUGCAGCUCCGGAGUUGAGCUCCGGAAUUUCACAUCUGACUUUCCAUACCGCCUACGCGCCCUUUACGCCCAGUAAUUCCGAUCAAUGCUUGCACCCUCCGUAUUACCGCGGCUGCUGGCAC
rnacentral:rRNA from 1 species